UGGGCCUACGGGGGGCAGCAGUGGGGGAUAUUGCACAAUGGGGGGAACCCUGAUGCAGCGACGCCGCGUGGGUGAAGAAGCGCCUCGGCGCGUAAAGCCCUGUCAGCAGGGAAGAAAAUGACGGUACCUGAAGGAGAAGCCCUGGCUAACUACGUGCCAGCAGCCGCGGUAAUACGUAGGGGGCAAGCGUUAUCCGGAUUUACUGGGUGUAAAGGGGGCGCAGACGGCGAUGCAAGCCAGGAGUGAAAGCCCGGGGCCCAACCCCGUGACUGCCCUUGGAACUGCGCGCCUGGAGCGCAGGGGGG
rnacentral:rRNA from 1 species